rnacentral:rRNA from 1 species
UACGGGGGGAGCGAGCGUUGUUCGGAAUGACUGGGCGUAAAGGGCGCGUAGGCGGAUUGUUAAGUUUGGUGUGAGAUACCUGGGCUCAACCUGGGAACUGCAUUGAAAACUGGCAGUCUAAGAGAAUUGUAUGGGGUGAUGGAAUUAUGCAUGGAGAGGUGGAACUCAUAGAUAUGCAUAGGAACACCGGAGGCGAAGGCGAUCAUCUGGGCAAUUUCUGACGCUGAGGCGCGAAAGCGUGGGUAGCAAA